UUUCUCCACAGCACCACUCAGUUUGAGGCCAUCUGCAAACGUGCUGCCAGUGCACCUCUAUCUCUCUGCUUGGACACCUCCAGCACAAAUCAUGGAACCACAGAUCUGUUGAGGCUGGAAGAGACCCUUGAGAUCACCAAGUCUCGCCUCAAGCUCACAAUCCCACCACUACUACUAAACCACUACCAUAUCUGGAGGACAACCUUCUGUUAGCUUUCAUAGGAGACUGCAUGGGGCAGGCACAGGGAGGUCUAGGAGUACUGAGAA